GCUAUCACAUAAUCUCCAACACGAUUAUAACAAGUGGCGCUCCUUAAUUCUAACAUGUGGACUAUUGAAACUCCUAAAACUUCUAAAUAUAUUUAAAAACGUCUGCUCCUUUAACUGAACCAAAAGACUCUUCAGAUUUCAGAAGACCAAGAUACUUACAACUUACAAGGCAUUCACAACUCUUCAUUAAACUGUCGUUCAAUCUUCUCAAUUAAACUUACAUGACGUUAAAGCUUUUCCAGCAAAUUGAUCUUCUCUUAUCAAAUAAACGUUACACGCCGCUCAAGCUGCAUUAUUCAACCCAUCUUCAGUAUUUAACCCAUCUUAAUCAAUCAAGAUUCAGCUUCAACAUCCCAAAACCCACAAAAAAAACCCAUCUUCAUCUUCAAUCUUCCAUACAACUCAGAAUCAACGACAGAAAUACAUACAACUUUUUGGUACAGUUUAUAGACAUUUAACGCCUGAGAAGUGAGAAUGUUUUGAUUCAAAACAAUGUUAGAUGCCAAAUCCUCAUAAGAACUGAUUUUUAGUUACAAUGGACAACUACAGGUAUCAAAGGCACAUGAUGAAUCAUUGUUUUAGCGGAUGGUUUCUUUAUGCUUGCUCUCACCCAAAAUGGUACCCAUUCUUCCAAUGUGGUGCUAUGCUUCAAGUGUCCUAAUUUUAUUUAAUAGUAUCCUCGUGUCGUUUUUAUACCAACAACUAUGCGUUUUGGUUGUUUUUUUUUUGAAUUUCUUUCCCCAAUCGGAAUAGCUCAAGCAUUUUUGUCUUAGAUUCUAGCUCAAUGAAUUUUCUAAUUGCAGAUUGUCAAGCAUUGCCCAAGUGUUAAACAAUUGUUGUGUAAAUUGUUUAGACCUUGUGGUAUCCUCAUUUUUCACCCACUUGGCUACUCUUUUUCUCAUCUUGGUUUUUUCAUUUUCCUCAAUUUAUUAACUUUACUCACUUCUUUCAUCUUCUCUGUUUGUUUAUUUUCCUCAAUUGAAUAAGUAACCUUUCAAUUUUUAAUUGAUAUAUGACAUUUAUGCCAUCAAUAUGAAGGAUAGUCUGUGUACCUUACUUGCUAGCUAAAAAUAAGAUUAGUUUUUUCAUUGCUUAA